UCAGGACGAACGCUGGCGGCGUGCCUAAUACAUGCAAGUCGAACGGUCUUUCUAUGGAAGCUUGCUUCCACUGAGAAGAUAGUGGCGAACGGGUGAGUAACACGUGGGUAACCUGCCCAUAAGAGGGGGAUAACAUCCGGAAACGGGUGCUAAUACCGCAUAGUUUCUUGAUUGCAUGAUUGAGAAAGGAAAGACGGCCUUUGUGCUGUCGCUUAUGGAUGGACCCGCGGCGUAUUAGUUAGUUGGUGAGGUAACGGCUCACCAAGACGAUGAUACGUAGCCGACCUGAGAGGGUGAUCGGCCACAUUGGGACUGAGACACGGCCCAAACUCCUACGGGAGGCAGCAGUAGGGAAUCUUCCGCAAUGGACGAAAGUCUGACGGAGCAACGCCGCGUGAGUGAAAGAAGGUUUUCGGAUCGUAAAACUCUGUUGUCAGAGAAGAACAAGUUGGAGAGUAACUGCUCCAGCCUUGACGGUAUCUGACCAGAAAGCCACGGCUAACUACGUGCCAGCCGCCGC
rnacentral:rRNA from 1 species